GGGGAAUAUUGGACAAUGGGGGAAACCCUGAUCCAGCGACGCCGCGUGGGUGAAGAAGGCCUGCGGGUUGUAAAGCCCUUUCGGUAGGGACGAAAGCUUCCGACCUAAUACGUCGGGAGGUUGACUUAACCUACCGAAGAAGCACCGGCUAACUCUGUGCCAGCAGCCGCGGUAAUACGUAGGCAGCAAGCGUUGUUCGGAGUUACUGGGCGUAAAGGGUGUGUAGGUGGCCUGUUAAGUUCCGUGUGAAAUCUCCCGGCUCAACCGGGAGGGUGCGCGGAAAACUGGCGGGCUAGAGUACGGGAUGGGAGAGUAGAAUUCCUGGUGUAGCGGUGAAAUGCGUAGAUAUCAGGAGGAAUACCGGUGGUGUAGACGGCUCUCUGGACCGUAACUGACACUGAGACACGAAAGCGUGGGUAGCAAAC
rnacentral:rRNA from 1 species